UACGGAGGGUGCAAACGUUGCUCGGAAUCAUUGGGCGUAAAGCGCACGUAGGCGGUCUGUUAAGUCGGAUGUGAAAGCCCCGGGCUCAACCCGGGAAGUGCAUACGAAACUGGCGGACUUGAAUAUGGAAGAGGGUCGCGGAAUUCCCGGUGUAGAGGUGAAAUUCGUAGAUAUCGGGAGGAACACCAGUGGCGAAGGCGGCGACCUGGGCCAAUAUUGACGCUAAUGAGCGAAAGCGUGGGGAGCAAACAGG
rnacentral:rRNA from 1 species